AUGGAGCUUUGUUGGCAAAAAUCAAUCCAUGGCUCUUAAAGAAGAAUGGAGGAUUGUGUGAGAGGGUCCUCACCCCUCACACUCCUCCUCCUCUUACAGUUUGCUUAUGCUUAGCCAUUGGCUUCUCUAAUCAUUAACCACAAAGGGUAUAUAUGGAGUAACAUGAUUCACUGAGUGGCAUGAAGCAGAGAAGCAUUCUCCAUAGGUCAGAGAAGCUUUGGCUACAGCCAGGCAAACCGGCAAGUCACAGAAAGGCAAUGGACUUUCUCUCAUUAAGGGGUCCU
rnacentral:sRNA from 1 species